CCCUGACCCGCCCCCUCCCAGAGUGCUUUGUGUCAGCUCUGGCCGAGUGGACAAGUGGACGCAGCUGGCUGCUGGACUUCGGGACUUCUCUCUCUGGAUCCCAUCCUGCCUGCGACACAGGGACAGGAAUGCAGCUGGCAGCAGCCUAUGGGGGCAGUCAGAAUCUGAGUCACGGGCCUCCCUGCGCUGAGGAGCUUUCUGGAGAAGGCACUUUACCUGACAUCAGGGACUGCUCCACCCUUCAGAUCAAGUGCAUCGUUAGCAUGAUUUCUUCCUUAGACUGGAAGCUCCUUGGAGGCAGGACUUGUGCUUCCCCUCUGUGGGUAAACCAGUCUGCGUGUGGAGUCUCAAGCGAGGGCCUGAGGGCAAGCCCUCUUAUAACAGUUUGGAUGUGGGGCUCCCUUUCGUGAAGUUACCCCAUAGGGCUGGGACCACAUUUCCUGAAAGGCCGAGGGGCUUGUGAGCAGCAGGGAAUCCUGGAGGUGGAAAUCCCAUGCUCACAGGUCUGAUGAUGUCUGCAGGGCUGGGGGAUUGGCACUGAGCUUCUGCCCAGUGGGAUUCUUCUGGGUGCCUUGUGCCAUUUUGCAGGACACAGAGGUUCAUUUGAUACUUUUCUGUGGCAUGUGUUUAGGAUAAAGGGCAGACCUGGACUCCCUUCUCUACCUGAUAGCCUCUCAGUUUCUUGGCUUGUGCUCCCUUUCAAAACAAGGGGAACAACUCCUUUGUUAUGUGCACGAGGAGAAACAUUUGAGCAGGCUUUGGCUCUUUUGCCUCUCAGUCCAGUGCUCAGCACUGCCUGUCUCCCCAUGGAUUUGGUGAGGGAGGCCUAAAGCAGGAGGUUUACCUACGCCCAGAACUCUGGCAGCUGUGACUGGCUUUGCUUCUCUUCUCAGCAGAGAUGACAGGAAGUAUCAAAGCCAAAUAUUCACUGGAGGCAAAGUCUGAACACUUGAAAUAAGAUUUAGUGACUCAAUCCAUUGUGGGCCACUUGGGACUCUGAAAAUCCCUGCAGGUUAUGUGCUGAUGAUAGCUGAGCUAAUCUUAGGGAGGUGGACAGGGGCAUCUUCUGGCGUCUAUGUUUUCAAAUUUCCUCUUUUCUCCUCCAUUCAGGAAAAAUUCUUGGGUUGUGAAGCUUUAUUCUUGGGUUGUGAAGCCGAAGAAGCCUCUGGAAGCCUGUCAUCGGUGAAUGACAAGGUGAAGGUCUGAACCCCAGAAAGCCUUGGCCUCAAGCAAUGCCAUUCCCUUCUCUGUCCCCGCCCCUUGAUGUCUGCUCAUUUCCAGGAACCUGUGCCGUGUGCGGGUCACACCAACGCUGGUUCUCUAAGAGGCACAGAGGUUACCCUAACUGUCCCCUGCCUCAAUGGGGCCCAUCUGAAAGGGUGUCCCAUUUUGUAAAAAAGUGCAAAAAAUUUUCUUGUUUCUGCUUUAGCCAGAGCUCUCCUUAGUUCACUACCCCCACCUCCCAUUCUUAUCAUCAUUUUUUGCUACAUUUCUCAUCCCUAAGUGCCCCUUGGAGCCCUCUGUUGGGACUUGUCCAGUCCUCUGGCAGGGGGAGGGCUACUCCUUCCCUUGGGCUCUUUUCCACUUCCCCCCACCUCUUGCCCACCUGGCAGCUCUUAGGGAGUGAUUGAUGGUGUUGUCUCUCAUUAUGUUGCCAGAGGGGAGACGGUGAAGAGGCUAAGUGAAAGAAAGGGGCCUGGGUCUGGGGGUAGGUGGGCUUGUUUCUCUGGAGGGGUUCAGAGGUCCUUUUUCAUACCUUAAAUUUCAUGAAUGGAUCUCCUGUGAUCAAUAAAAUGUUUUUAAUUAAAAAGAAAGUUUUAGAA
rnacentral:lncRNA from 1 species